rnacentral:rRNA from 1 species
UUAUUUAUUCUCUGUUCACGGGAUUGAUUGGCAUUAGCGGCGAUGAAGGACGUGGAGGACGACGAUAU